rnacentral:lncRNA from 1 species
GAGAACACUGGAACUGUGAGCCGAAAUAAGUCUCCUCUCUGAUGUGGAUUUAUAUUCGGCAUUUUGUCACAGCAAUAGAAGCUGAACGGGAAGUGCACAAGCAUGAACUGAGAAGUCUACAGAAGGAAAUGCCACCGGAAAGAUCUUAAAAGUUGAUGUAGCAGCUGAGCACAGGGUGUUUCAGAACAGAGUGAAUGGAGGCAUGAGAAAGAAGCUCAUCUCAAGAAUGCAGACGCCAGAAUCCAGCAACAGAGGCAUCAACCAAGUGACCAAACAGAGUGGACAAAAGACAAGGCCAAUGGCUCAGGAGAGAAUGUAAAUGUAGAGUUGGCACUGCUACAGAGGAAAGAUGGACCUGGCCAACAGCACUAUUCCCAAGAAAAGCCCAUGGGUUUUGUAAACUACAAAAACAAUGUUGUGUUUUACUCUGAAAGUGAUUCCUUCAUGGCAAACCAAAAUUGAAGAAACCCAGUGCAGUGCCUGCCAUAUUGCGAGUGAGUGUUUAAUUCGGCUCCAUUUUGGGUUAAGAUGGAGCCAUAGAAU